rnacentral:rRNA from 1 species
AUACGGAGGGUGCAAGCGUUGUUCGGAAUUAUUGGGCGUAAAGCGGAUGUAGGCGGUUUGUUAAGUCGGAUGUGAAAUCCCUGGGCUCAACCCAGGAACUGCAUUCGAUACUGGCAAACUAGAGUCUCGGAGGGGGUGGCGGAAUUCCCGGUGUAGAGGUGAAAUUCGUAGAUAUCGGGAGGAACACCAGUGGCGAAGGCGGCCACCUGGACGAUGACUGACGCUCAGAUCCGAAAGCGUGGGGAGCAAACAGGAUUAGAAACCCUAGUAGUCC